CUAUCUGAGUCUGGGGCGAAGUCAAUGACAGCCAUGUUCUUAAGCCCAAUCAACUAUCAAUACAGACCUGAUAAUCAUAUUCACAGAUGACGUCAAAAGGGUUUCUAUGACACAACAGCCGCAAGCUAAAUACCGU
rfam:Yersinia mollaretii ATCC 43969 contig00007, whole genome shotgun sequence.